AAUUUACAAACAUUUUCCGCAGAUCAAUAUCUGUAUUGAUUAUUCAUUGUGAGUGAGUCGUGUGUCUUUGGUGAUCCGGCUCGCAGAGGUAGCAGCCAAAGCCUGCUGCAGGGGAAAAAAAAAUAACAGAAGGCGAGAGGGACCCAGCUCUUGCUGGGUCUGCGGCUGUCGGCGACACAGAAAGGAAGAGAAAACGAGGAAGACACUGGGAAAUGGAGGUGAGAAGGGUGGAAGAGAAAGAGGGAGCAACAGCAAGAAAAACCAAGUGAUGGUGGACACCUGGUUCCAGGAUCUCGGUGGCUUGCAGGAAACCCCCAUCGUGGUCUGCUGCUCCGUGCCCAGUGCAGCGGACUCCCUCGGCUCUGGGAGUGAGAAGUGACUCACAGUUUUGGUAUCUCCUACGUAAGAGCUUUGGGGGGAUUCCUUGGCUUGCUGACAAGGACAGGAAGAAAGCAGCAGCAGCGAGGUAAAACACGAUUACUUCCAACUGCCUUAUGGAGGAUAUGCAGUCGCUUGGUUGGACUGGAACAGCCUGCCGCUCUCUGAUGGCACGCGGAGGGAGAAUAAUUAAAAAGGCCAGCAUCACUUGCUAAGAAGCUGCUGCAAUGUUACAAAAAUAUCCUGGAAAAAGGAGGUUGAGGAGAUUCGGUUUUCCAUAGACUGGGCUUCUGGCAAUGGUGCCAGGCGAUUGUGUUUUGCCAUUUGAACCAUGAUGCCGGAGCUAGUUUGGGAUUCUUCUUCUGUUGUCACCCAGCUGUGGCAUGAAUUGACACAUCGGCAAGAAAAAGAACAACCCACAGGAAAAUGGGCAGAUGGCUGGAAUAGAGACUUCACACACAAAAAGAAAUCCAAUGGCCAAUCAGUGCUCAGAUUCACUGGAAUUAAGGAAAUGCAAAAUAAAGUACAAUGAGAGACACCUCCUACGCCCCCCUGGCGUGCCAAAAGUUGAAGUCUGACAAUGACAAGUGCUAGCAGGAGCGGAAAGAACAAUGGGUCACUUAUACACUGCUGGUGGGAUUAUAAAGAUACUAGUUUGGAAAAUAGUUUUGCAUUAAUUAGUAAAGCUGAAGAGAUGCAUUCUCCUUGACUUCCCCCCAAAUCCAUUCCAAUAACUUAAAGCAGUGGCUCCCAAAGUAUGGUCCUUAUUCUCGGUGGGGAGCUUCUUAGAAAUGUAAACUCUCAUAUGCAGCCUCAGUUUCACUGAAUCAGAAACUCUGAGGGUGGAGGCUUGUCAUUCGUGAACCGUCUGAGUAAUGGUCAUGAGCUUUCAGGCAGAAGAAGCACCUGAGAGAAAUCUGUGAGCAUGGGCACAGGAUACAUGACAAAAAUGUAUCCACGUACCCAUUAACAGGAAUACUUUGCCUUCUAUUUGUACAAUGGAAUAUUACACUAUAAUAAAAAUGAAUGUGUCCCAUGGAUAAAACUUACAGUCAUUAUGUUGAAGAAAAGAAGCAAGACACAAAUGAAAAUAAAAACCUGAAGAAAAGAAAGGAACUGAUUACCAUAAGAUCCAGGAAAAUGGUUAUCAAUAUUGGAGAAGGAGGUAUGACCAACAAGGAGUGUGCAACGGGGCCGGAGUUUAUGAGGGGCUGGCCAUGCUCCCUGUCCUGACCUGUAGGGCAAAGAGAGUUGGGGACAGACUCGAAGAUGAUCGUGUGUAUCUGCUAGAGUCAUUAUCCCUUCUUCUCCCUAAAUGUGUGGAUGAGUCGAAAAAUAGCCAGGCUUCUCAGUAAGCGGGGUUGAUAUCACCCACGUGAUCCAAGGCUCUACUGCCACUUGUGACUUUGUUGUUUCUUUGCAAACUUCUUUAGUGACCAUGGUUAGACUGGAUUCAUGCACAGUUAGAUGGGAAGAAAUAACACAUUAGUUCUUCCAAAGAUAAUAGCGAUAAUAUAGAUGCUGGUUGGAUUAUACUUGAGUUGUCGGAGUUUAAAGCAGAAGGUCCUUCAACAAACCUCUUGGGACAUGUGUCUACACCUGAUGUGUCCUCCCCUUUCUCACCAGACACUCAUCCCCUAAACCCCCUCUCCCCCACUACUCAAAUGAAGCUACUUCCUCACAAGUCUCUAUUGCCAAACCCAAUGCCUCAUCUUGUGUCAUGCCUUCCAUGACCUUUCACCUUGUCUCUUACCCCCUUGCCACAGGUCGUCUCUUACCCCUGUACUUCCGCCACAGGUCUACGAUGAUUGAAUUAAUAGCUAUUUACCCUUCAUGGAUAAUAUCAUUCUUUUGUCAGUAGUAAUGAUCAUGUGAGCACUAACACUUAAAAAAUACAGGUACAUAUUAUGAUACAACAUACCAAGCACAGUGUUUGCACAUAGUAGGCGCUCAAUGAACACUAAACUGAUAUAAGUAGAUCUGUCAUAUAAAAACAUAUCUUAAAUAAAAGUAUUAUUAUAAGUUGAUA